CAGUUCAACCAAAAGUCAGUUAAAAUCAAGACAAAACUCUUUUAUAAGCAGCAAAAAUUCAAUUUAUUAAGAGAAGAAAAUGAAGGUUAUGCCAAGCUGAUUGCUGAACUGGGGCAAGAUUUAUCUGGAACUAUUACUAGUGAUUUAAUAUUAGAAAAUAUCAAAUCUUUAAUAGGAUGCUUUAAUCUGGAUCCCAAUAGAGUUUUGGAUGUCAUUUUAGAAGUAUUUGAAUGCAGGCCAGAACAUGAUGACUUCUUUAUAUCGUUAUUAGAGUCUUACAUGAGUAUGUGUGAACCACAAACACUGUGUCAUAUUCUUGGAUUCAAAUUCAAGUUUUAUCAGGAACCAAGUGGUGAGACGCCCUCGUCUUUGUACAGAGUUGCAGCAGUCCUUCUGCAAUUUAAUCUCAUUGAUCUAGAUGAUCUUUAUGUACAUCUCCUCCCAGCUGAUAAUUGUAUUAUGGAUGAAUACAAACGAGAAAUUGUGGAAGCUAAGCAAAUUGUAAGAAAACUCACAAUGGUUGUACUGUCUUCUGAAAAACUUGAUGAACGA
rnacentral:lncRNA from 1 species